rnacentral:rRNA from 1 species
CCCUUAUUUAGCCUCUCAAUGUCCGUAACGAACUCUAGGUAUUGAUUGGUGCUUGCAUCAUGAUUUACAUUUGAGUGAGUGGCGAACUGGUGAGUAACACGUGGGAAACCUGCCCAGAAGCGGGGGAUAACACCUGGAAACAGAUGCUAAUACCGCAUAACAACUUGGACCGCAUGGUCCGAGUUUGAAAGAUGGCUUCGGCUAUCACUUUUGGAUGGUCCCGCGGCGUAUUAGCUAGAUGGUGGGGUAACGGCUCACCAUGGCAAUGAUACGUAGCCGACCUGAGAGGGUAAUCGGCCACAUUGGGACUGAGACACGGCCCAAACUCCUACGGGAGGCAGCAGUAGGGAAUCUUCCACAAUGGACGAAAGUCUGAUGGAGCAACGCCGCGUGAGUGAAGAAGGGUUUCGGCUCGUAAAACUCUGUUGUUAAAGAAGAACAUAUCUGAGAGUAACUGUUCAGGUAUUGACGGUAUUUAACCAGAAAGCCACGGCUAACUACGUGCCAGCAGCCGCGGUAAUACGUAGGUGGCAAGCGUUGUCCGGAUUUAUUGGGCGUAAAGCGAGCGCAGGCGGUUUUUUAAGUCUGAUGUGAAAGCCUUCGGCUCAACCGAAGAAGUGCAUCGGAAACUGGGAAACUUGAGUGCAGAAGAGGACAGUGGAACUCCAUGUGUAGCGGUGAAAUGCGUAGAUAUAUGGAAGAACACCAGUGGCGAAGGCGGCUGUCUGGUCUGUAACUGACGCUGAGGCUCGAAAGUAUGGGUAGCAAACAGGAUUAGAUACCCUGGUAGUCCAUACCGUAAACGAUGAAUGCUAAGUGUUGGAGGGUUUCCGCCCUUCAGUGCUGCAGCUAACGCAUUAAGCAUUCCGCCUGGGGAGUACGGCCGCAAGGCUGAAACUCAAAGGAAUUGACGGGGGCCCGCACAAGCGGUGGAGCAUGUGGUUUAAUUCGAAGCUACGCGAAGAACCUUACCAGGUCUUGACAUACUAUGCAAAUCUAAGAGAUUAGACGUUCCCUUCGGGGACAUGGAUACAGGUGGUGCAUGGUUGUCGUCAGCUCGUGUCGUGAGAUGUUGGGUUAAGUCCCGCAACGAGCGCAACCCUUAUUAUCAGUUGCCAGCAUUAAGUUGGGCACUCUGGUGAGACUGCCGGUGACAAACCGGAGGAAGGUGGGGAUGACGUCAAAUCAUCAUGCCCCUUAUGACCUGGGCUACACACGUGCUACAAUGGAUGGUACAACGAGUUGCGAACUCGCGAGAGUAAGCUAAUCUCUUAAAGCCAUUCUCAGUUCGGAUUGUAGGCUGCAACUCGCCUACAUGAAGUCGGAAUCGCUAGUAAUCGCGGAUCAGCAUGCCGCGGUGAAUACGUUCCCGGGCCUUGUACACACCGCCCGUCACACCAUGAGAGUUUGUAACACCCAAAGUCGGUGGGGUAACCUUUAUAGUAACCUACGGGGGCAUGGAGGACCCG